AUACGUAGGUGACAAGCGUUAUCCGGAUUUACUGGGCGUAAAGGGCGUGUAGGCGGUCUUGCAAGUCAGAAGUGAAAUUCCUGAGCUCAACUCGGGCGCUGCUUCUGAAACUGCAGGACUUGAGUGCUGGAGGGGAUAGCGGAAUUCCUAGUGGAGCGGUAAAAUGCGCAGAUAUUAGGAAGAACACCGGUGGCGAAGGCGGCUAUCUGGACAGUAACUGACGCUGAGGCGAGAAAGCGUGGGAAGCAAACAGGAUUAGCUACCCUGGUAGGCCACGCCGUAAACGAUGAAUACUAGGUGUAGGGGGUAUCGACUCCCUCUGUGCCGCAGUUAACACAAUAAGUAUUCCGCCUGGGGAGUACGGCCGCAAGGUUGAAACUCAAAUGAAUUGACGGGG
rnacentral:rRNA from 1 species